AUUGAACGCUGGCGGCAGGCCUAACACAUGCAAGUCGAACGAGUAGCGGACGGGUGAGUAAUGUCGGGGAAACUGCCUGAUGGAGGGGGAUAACUACUGGAAACGGUAGCUAACACCGCAUACCAUCAGAUGGGCCCAGAUGGGAUUAGCUGGUCGGUGGGGUAACGGCUCACCAAGGCGACGAGCCCUAGCUGGGCUGAGAGGAUGACCAGCAACACGGGAACUGAGACACGGUCCAGACUCCUACGGGAGGCAGCAGUGGGGAAUAUUGCACAAUGGGCGAAAGCCUGAUGCAGCAAUGCCGCGUGUAUGAAGAAGGCCUUCGGGUUGUAAAGUACUUUCAGCGGGGAGGCGUUACCCGCAGAAGAAGCACCGGCUAACUCCGUGCCAGCAGCCGCGGUAAUAC
rnacentral:rRNA from 1 species